GGGAGUGUUUAGCACUGGGAACCUAAGCAGGUAAGCAGCUAUGAUCAGGGUAGAAUAGGGGGGCAGGUGUAAGGCUGGACUCAGGGACAGGGAUGAGAGAAGGUAUGCAACUGGAGUCAGGGCCAGGAGUAGUACCAGGUGUACAGUGAGACCCAGGUUGGUCAGCAUGUGCCAAGUGUUUGAUUAGAACCUUAUAUCCAUACAUGAAUACACUAAGAUGCACCAUAUGAAUACAGUAUACACAAUAUUGCACAAUUUCAAGCUGAAAAAUCCCAAAGUUCCAUUCCAAUGGGACACCCUCCUCCCCUUGCUGAGUGAUUUACCUCCUGCCACCCUUAAAUCUUUCCACUACUGAAAGGUAAGAGAUGGAACAGUGAUGAAAUAUUUUCUAAUGGUCAACAUGAGUGCAGCUCCAACAACAUUCAAUAAGCGAGGACAUUCGGGGAAGGCCGAAAAUAACUUGUGGAACCCAUGGAAGAGAUAUUUGUAUCAUCAAUAGCCACUGCAAGGUGCCGGAAGACUGGGGAAGGGAUGGGUUGACUAAUGUUCUGCCUCGGUUUAGGAAAGGCCACAAGGAAAAACUGGUGAGCCUAACCUCAAUGGUGGAUAAGUUACUGGAGGGGAUUCUGAGAGAAAGGAUGUACAUGCUUUUUGAAAAAGCAAAGACUGGUUAAGAAUAGUCAGCAAUAAUUUCUAAAUAAAUUGUCUUAAACUAGAAAGCAUAGUUUCAGGUGAGAGUGGAAAUAAGAACCUGAGGAGGGGAAUAAUCACACAGAGAGUGAUACGUAUGUGGAAAAACAUGUCAUAGAACAUGGGAGAAAAGGGUACAAUUAUGCCAUUUAAACAUCCUUGGGCAAGUACAUGGAAAUAUUUGGAGGGAUAUACUGUAAACCAUGCGGUGGCUCCAAAUCAGGCUAAGUGGAACUCAGUUGGUGAGGCAACCAGGUUACUAUGGAUUUGUUGGGCCAAAGGCCUGUUAUUUGUGCUGUGCAAUUCUUUGACCCUAAGCUUAACUCUAUCCAGGCAUAAGCAACCUGCUUAAUUAUUAGCUAACCUAAUACACACAAUAUCCAAUUGGUCUUCCAAACCAGCCUGUAGUAUGUAUCAUCUGCAAAAUGCACUGUUGUUAUUCUUCAAAACUGCUCCAACUGCACAUCUCAAACCGACAAUCUCUGCCACCUAUAAGAAGGCCAGCAGGAACUUGGGAAAGCAAUUACACGUGAGCACUUUCCAAGUCACACAACACCAUGACUGUAAAUCCUGGAACUCCUAUCCAGUGGUACUGGUGGUAUAACUGCACCAUUUCAAUUGUCUGUCUCACCACCAUCUUUGCAAGGGAAGUGAAGGAUUGACUAUAAAUUCCAGGUGAUGCAACAACUUGCAUAUGGGGAAAUUACAUAUUUGAACAUUCUAGCACAUUGGUGGCAGCACAUGGACUGUCAGCCUCAUCUUUUGUAGUCAAACUCAGAAAAGAUUAACCUUGCAAACUUUGGCUGAAGUGGAAUCAUGUCACGUUCUGAGCCAAGGCGGAUACUCAUAUCCACACAUGCCUAUCCACACAUGUCCUUCAGGGAUUCCUUGGUGCAGGACAACUCCAAACCAAUAAUAUAAUUUGUACAAUUUGUUCAAAAGAAGUAUGUCAAUUAAGGUUCAGAUAGUACUGCUUGCGAUUAACAUAUGUGAACUGCAGUAAACUAAGAAGAGCAAAUAAAUUCCACGGUAUUGUUGGGUUAUUAUUUAAACUUUUAAAUUUGGAACUGGGUGGAGGAGACCAAUUAUGGAACACAAUUAAGCAAAGAAUUGUCUUAAAAUAAUCCAGUUUCUAUUUAGGAAGGUCAUAAUAACAGUACAGCGUUAGGUUGUCUCUUAAAUUAAGAGUUUGUUUCACAGCACAUGCAGGACGUUUGUCUAAAAUAUUUGCAUUUGCAUUUGAUGCAAAUGCUCUGUUGUUCAUCUGAGAAUAAAACUGAUUCAAAUUGUUAUGUUGGGUUUUGGG